GAUGAACGCUAGCGGGAGGCCUAAUACAUGCAAGUCGAGCGGUAGAGUGACUUCGGUUGCUUGAGAGCGGCGAACGGGUGAGUAACACGUACACAAUCUACCUUUAAGAGGGGAAUAGCCCUGGGAAACUGGGAUUAAUGCCCCAUGGCAUCACGAAGUGGCAUCGCUUUGUGAUUAAAGCUGAGGUGCUUAGAGAUGAGUGUGCGUCUGAUUAGCUAGUUGGUGCGGUAACGGCGCACCAAGGCGACGAUCAGUAGGGGGCGUGAGAGCGUGGACCCCCCACACGGGUACUGAGACACGGACCCGACUCCUACGGGAGGCAGCAGUAAGGAAUAUUGGUCAAUGGGAAGGAACUCUAGAACCACGCCACUCCCGCGUG
rnacentral:rRNA from 1 species